rnacentral:rRNA from 1 species
CAGCCGUUGAAACUGGGGAUCUAGAGUGUGCGAGAGGUAUGCGGAAUGCGUGGUGUAGCGGUGAAAUGCAUAGAUAUCACGCAGAACCCCGAUUGCGAAGGCAGCAUACCGGUGCACAACUGACGCUCAGGCACGAAAGCGUGGGUAUCGAACAGGAUUAGAUACCCUGGUAGUCCACGCAGUAAACGAUGAAUGCUACCUGUUUGGCCAGAUUGAUGGCUGAGCGGGACAGCGAAAGCGUUAAGCAUUCCACCUGGGGAGUACGCCGGCAACGGUGAAACUCAAAGGAAUUGACGGGGGCCCGCACAAGCGGAGGAACAUGUGGUUUAAUUCGAUGAUACGCGAGGAACCUUACCCGGGCUCAAACGCAUACUGACGACAGUUGAAAGAUUGUUUCCCUUCGGGGCAUUAUGCGAGGUGCUGCAUGGUUGUCGUCAGCUCGUGCCGUGAGGUGUCGGCUUAAGUGCCAUAACGAGCGCAACCCCUAUCGACAGUUGCUAACGAGUAGAGUCGAGGACUCUGUCGAGACUGCCGGCGCAAGCUGUGAGGAAGGCGGGGAUGACGUCAAAUCAGCACGGCCCUUACGUCCGGGGCGACACACGUGUUACAAUGGCAGGGACAGCGGGAAGCCACCAAGCGAUUGGGCGCGGAACCCGAAACCCUGUCUCAGUUCGGAUUGGAGUCUGCAACCCGACUCCAUGAAGCUGGAUUCGCUAGUAAUCGCGCAUCAGCCAUGGCGCGGUGAAUACGUUCCCGGGCCUUGUACACACCGCCCGUCAAGCCAUGGGAGUCGGGAGUGCCUGAAGUUCGUGACCGCGAGGAGCGCCCUAGGGUAAAACCGGUGACUGGGGCUAAGUCGUAACAAGGUAACCGUAA